GAGCUUCACGGGAACGAACCGUUUUGCAGCAGCAGGCGGCCAGAAGCCUGCAUAUCAGCCAUUGUCCCCAAACAAUGUGGAAGCAUAGAGAGUCCCUUCCAGGCACUACAGUGCUGCCCAAAGCCUUUCGGAAGAGGAAGCGAAACAGGCCGCCCAGAACACCAGGCUUUUGGCUGUCCCAGAAGACAUCGAAGUUGAGGCGAGGGCAG
rnacentral:lncRNA from 1 species